rnacentral:lncRNA from 1 species
AGUCCUUCGCCGUCCCUCGCCGUCCUUCGCCAUCGCACGCCACCGCACCCCAUCUCUCGAAAUCUGCAGACAUCUUGAUUUUUCCCACGCUGUCUGUCAGGUCUCCGCCGCCACUCGACGCCAGGGCGCCGGGCCUUGUGGGCUGUGCUGCACCUCGGACGGCUUCGCACCAGCCAGCGCCCUCUCUCUCCUGCAGCACUCUGAUCUGCACCCCCUGAGGGGCUUCCACUGUCCGCGGGGUGAGAAUGCCCCUGGGAGUGUCACAUGACUGCCGCCCCAUGUGUGUGAGAGGCGUCCUCUGGGAGAGCAUGGAUCCUGAGGUCCCAGGUAAGUGGGGUCCUGCUCAGUCCUCUAGAGCUCAAGUUCUCUGCAGGUUGUGAGGCCAGAGGUGGUUGGGUGCUGAGGAGUGGGGAGUGAGGACACCGGUGAAGGCUGCUUCCCUUUGCUCCUGUCUUUGCUCCUUCAGCAGGCAGGGACAGGCCUGGGCCCUCUUCUGCCUUCGUGGGGCUGCUGCCAAGAAGGUGCUCCCUGAGCUUGAUUGGGGCUCUGAGAGUCCCUGACAAAGACCCUGUCAUGUUGAGAGGAAAACCAUGUGUUGGAAUGGACAGAGGGGCUGCGUUUCAGAUUCAAGCCUGGAUUCAUACCCAGUGCCCGGCUGAGCAGUCUUAUGUAAGCCUCAGUGGAACAGAUAGCCAAUAUUGAUACCCUCCAGCCCAGUCUGUUAUUUAUUUAUUUAUUUAUUUUUUGAGACAGAGUCUUGCUCUGUCGCCCAGGCUAGAGUGCAAUGGCAUGAUCUCAGCUCACUGCAACCUCUGCCUCCCGGGUUCAAGUGAUUCUCCCUGCCUCAGUCUCCUGAGUAGCUGGGAUUACAGGUGCCCGCCACCAUGUCCAGCUAAUUUUUUCUAUUUUUAGUAGAGAUGGUGUUGGCCAGGCUGAUCGCGAACUCCUGACCUCUGGCAAUCCACCCGCCUUGGCCUCCCAAAGUGCUGUGAUUACAGGUGUGAGCCACUGUGCCCGGCCUAUUUUUUUAUUUUUAUUUUUAUUUUCUUUUGAGACGGAGUCUCUGUUGCCCAGGCUGGAGUGCAAUGGCGUGAUCCUGACUCACUGCAACCUCCACUUCCCGGGUUCAAAUGAUUCUCCUGCCUCAUCCUCCCGAGUAGCUGGGAUUACAGGUGCCUGCCACCAUGCCUGGCUAAUGUUUUUUUGUAUCUUUAGUAGAGAUGGGGUUUCACCAUGUUGGACAGGCUGGUCUCAAGCUCCUGACCUCAGAUGAUCCACCUGCCUCAGCCUCCCAAAGUGCUGGGAUUACAGGCGUGAGCCACUGCACCCGGCCAGCCCAGUCUUUGAGAAGAGCCCCAGGAUUCUCAAUAUUUCUGCCCAUGUUUGCCUUCCUUUCUGCUUCUGGCAGGGAGUGGUAAGUGAUCUCUGGGAGUCAGAAGCAGCAUCUGUAAUCUUAGGCUGUAAGUCUGCUCAUUGCCCUGUCAGCUGUUCUGUUCCAGGUGAGACCAUUGCCCGGAAUGCCAGCAUUGGCCUCCUUUCUGGGCUUGCCCUCUGCCCUUUCUGCCCCUGCAUUCGAAAGUGAUCAUGAGCUGCCCGUGCCCUGGUCAUUGGUAGUGCAGGGAGAGGAACUGCCGAGAGCACUUCCCCGUGUUUGGAGGGUCCACUCCUGUCUCUUCCAAACCCUGGAGCUUUCCCACACCUCCUCCCUCCCACCACGUCUUAGAUGGCUCCUGGUGCCUGGCAUCAUCUAGUGGGUUGUGUUGCUCUUCUCCCUGGCCCAGGGCAGUUAUUGUGAGACAUGAGGGAAGGGUGUGGGGUGAUGGGUUUGGCCUCAUGGAGCAGAAGGGCUGGGUGUGGAGCUGAGAUAGGGCUGCCCUGCUCCUUCCUCCCGGAAGCUUUCUCUGCCUCCACACCUCUCCUUCCACGUCCUUAUCCAGCCCCUGCACCAAGCUGAACCUGUGGAAAUUGUUGCCUGACUUGUUUCCUGGCUCUCUUUGCUGUGGUCUCAAGGGCAGUGUCUGAAUUUUGUUCCCUACUUUGUUAUGUCUGCCAGAUGGUCAGUAUUCUGACAGUGUGGGACAAAGGAAAAACGGCAGCCUGGGCAACCCCGCCUCUAUAAGAACUAAAAAAUUAGCCAGGCAUGGCGGUGCAUGCCCCUGUAGUCCUAGCUUCUCAGGAGGCUGAGGCAGGAGGCUCUCUUGAGCCCGGGAGGACAAGGCUGCAGUGAGCCAUGACCAUGCCACUGCACUCAGCCUGGGCAACAGAGUGAGACCCUGUCUCAAGAAAGAAAAACGAGAAAGGGAGAGUCCCUCCACUGUAAGGAGAUCGGGUUCAUUACAUUUUGGGGUGUUGGAGAAAAAUACUGAGUCAGCACCUGUGUGGGAUUGGUGGGAGCAGAUUUGGUGUUUUCCACCCCUUCACAGGAUUCUGAGGUAACUCAUUUCUGUUGGCCUUGGCCUUGUAUGGGGAGGAUUUCCCUCCAGCCUUGUAUGGGGAGGAUUUCCCUUGUAUGGGGAGGAUUUUCCCUCCAGCUUGUGGGAAAGGAAUCAAGGACCAGAGACAGGCAGGGGAGAAGAUCACUGAGGGAUUUACGGCAGCAGCCUCUGCACGGCUUCCCCACGACCUCCCCAGCUGCUUGCUGGACGCUGCUGGAGAAACAGCACAUCCCAAGAUCAUCAUGGCCCCAGCAUCCUCUUGAACUUAGUAACAGUUGGCCUGACAGAUGAAGCGGAUAUCAUCCCUGCCUUAGAAGUUCUCUAGCCCCUUUCUUAGAGAUAAGCUGCUAUUUCAUUCCUAAAAGAAGUCAUGGCUGUUCAGGUGAGAAGAACGGUUUAGUCAGCAUCUAUGCAACACUGUAGAGAUGCUUAGUGAGAGGUGUUGCAGGAGAGUGGCAGACCGCAGGGCCCGAGGUAAGGUUUCUUGUCCAUCUCUGGAAUUUUGGCUUUUUGCACCCUGUAAAGUCACGUCCCCUUUUUUUCUGGUGCUUUGGUGGUGACGUAGGGAGAGGUGAGGAUGAGAAGAGGAGCCAUGUCCUAUGGAUUCCCAGAUCCAGACUCCUCUUCCCUGGGAAAGCUGGAUUGGAGCUGGCCCCUCCUUCUGUGCCUUCAGGGGCUGUGGAGGAGGAGGCCCCUGCAGGGAGCUGCCUGGGGCGAGCGCUGGGGGCUUUUCCUGCAGUGCAUUAGCAGCAUGUCAUAAUGGAAAGUGGCUGGAUUUCUUUCCAGUUGUAAUCAAUGGUUAAGAUUUAACCUAGCAACAUUGUAGGGGUACACAGCCAAAUGAUUCAGGAAAAAAGAUGCAGGUUGAGUCUGGAGGAAUCCCUGUGCCAGCUUCCUCAUGCUCCCUCCCUCUCUCAGAAAUCACAUGGAACCCAUUCUCCCCUCAGCAGUGAAAAUGCAUUCAGCCUGUGUGCAGUGUUUCUGCCCAGGGAAGCCCAGUAGGGCCUCCAUGCCCGGGGUGUUUACUGGGAUCUGGUUAUGUAGACACCACCUGCCUAGCACGCACCAAAAUUCCAGACUUUCAGGAAAACAGGUGCCUGUGCCACAUUAUUUGCACGGAGAGACUGUGUCCAGUGAACGGUUCUGAUCAGUAAACUGUUGACUAGGAACAUCCCGAGAGCCAAGUUCCCAGAUGCCAGCCAAGGGCCAUCUGACCUGUUUUGAAUCUCAAUUUCCUGAUACAGAAAACAAAGGUAGGGCAUAAUUGAUUUUUACAGACGUGACCCCAUGAUCCUGCUCUCUAGUCCCCAGAUUUUUCCAGGGCUUUUGUCAGAGGUGUUUCCCCUUUGAUUCCCCUUGGUGGUUAGGUUUUAUGGGAUUUUACAGGACAGAUGGCAGCUGCAGGAGUCUUGUACUGUCCCUGACUUGGGUCAUCCCACAGGCCCUGGCACCAUCCUCCUGCCCUUCCUGGCUCUCCUGUCUGUUUCUGCUCCUGCAUCCGAAAGUGAUCAUAGGCUGCCUGUGCCUAGGUCAUUGAUAGUGCAGGGAGAGGAACGCUGAAAGAGGUUGUCCCCGUGUUUGGAGGGUCCACCCUAUCCCAUCCGAACCCUGAAGCUUUCACACAACUCCUGUUGCUCUCCUGCCAGCCCUUGAGGAGUCCGGCGCUUGCUUGGCUGCCACAUGAAAGUCAGUGCGGGGGGGCAUCAUGCUUAAGUCUUUCUCAGCUUGACCUCUCUUUGCAGAAACCAGGCUCUGUGUUCUGAGGGGUAGAUCAGGAAGGGAAUGUGAUAUGUAAUGAGUCAUGGUGUGUCGCAGUGGAUAGCACAGUUUCGAAUAAGUGCAAUAUUGGCAUAUAAACAUGAGGGAGACUUUGAGGUUGGGGUGAGCAGGGCUGACCCCGUGUGUGUGUGUGUGUGUGUGUGUGUGUGUGUGUGUGUAUGUGUAACUUGGGGACAGGAUAGGGUAGCAUCUUUACAUCUUUACAUGUCAUUGGCCUGGAAUAGGGGGUCCUGAAGGGUUUGUCGUAAGAAAGAGAAAGUGCUCAUUGCUGCAAGGGGAGCACAGCCGGGUUCUGAGAGGCAAAACACUUCCCUCACUUCCCACCCAAGAGUUUCGCCUGUUCUCUCGACCCUCUGAGGUGUGCAUUGGUGUCACUCACUGGCCACCAUUCCAGCUCUUAAUUCCUCUGCCUUUUGUGCUGGCCUUUGGGGCUCCCCUGAGGAUGACUGGUUCUCAGGUUGCCCCUGGAGGAAUGGGUGGAGUUGUAAGAUCAGGAAUAAAGCUAGAGAGGGAGGACCAAGGGGAAGUCACUGAUGCAGCCGCCGUCUAGCCCAUCCCACCCCGAUUGAGAGGUCGCUUUUUCCUGUUGAACAUGUUGGAUAGUGGAAUGUGUUAUAAGAAGUGAUAUGUGUGGCUUCUUGUCAUUGCAGGAUUGUCAGCUGACCUCUGUCCUGUGUGCCCAGUGGCCCCAGGUGACGUGUCUUCAAGAAGAGGCUGAGCUGCGGUGCUUGUAAGGUAUGAAUCCUGGGUGCUUCUCUAGAGAAUGCACUGGUGUUCAGGCCGCAAGGACGAAGGCUUUGAGGUCACUAGAGGGGAGGCAGAGGCUGCUUCCCAUUGCUUGCUCUUCCACUGAGGCCCACAGGGACAUGUGACACCCUCUUUUCCUCGAACUCUGCGACUCCACUGUGUGAAUCACGGUGGGGCUUACAGAGCUCCCCUUGGGCUCUGAGUCAUCCUAGUGUGGAUUGGCAUAGUUUGUUGAAGUGGGAGGAGUACUGCAUUUUGGAGGCAGGCAAUUAGCUAGUGGUUUUCUCUGGACUUGGUGGCGAUCCUUGUUAUGAAGUGAUUUAUGGAUUUUUUUUUUUUUUUUUUUUUUUUGAGGCAGGGUCUCAUUCUGUCACCCAGGCUGGAGUGCAGUGGUGCAAUGAUGGCUCACUGCAGCCUCGACCUGGGCUCAAGUGAUCCUCCACCUCAGCUUCCUGAGUAGCUGGGACCACAGGUACGUGCUGCUGCACCCAGCUAAUUUUUAGAAAUUUUUUGUAGAGGCGGAGUCUCACCAUGUUGCUUGGGCUCGUUUUGAAUUCCUGGGCUCAAGCAAUCCUUCCACCUUGGCUUCCCAAAGUGCUGGGAUUAUGGAUAGUAAGUCCAGGCCUGGCCGACGUGUGGAUAGUAUCACACAAUCCCUGACUUCCUAAUCCAGUGAAUUCUCAACAUUUCACCCAGAGUUGAUCUUCCAUCUCAUUCUCUUAUGAGGGAAGCAUUUGAGUAGUGGUUCUCAAACUGUGGUCCCAGAACCAGGUACCAUCAGUAUUACUUGGGAACUUGUAAGAAGUGCAAGUUCUUAGCCCUGUCCCAACCUACUACAUCAGAAGUUUUGGAUCUGGAGCCAGCAAUCUGGCUUAACAUGGUCUCCAGGUGAUUCGUAUUCAUGCUAAAGUUUGGGAAAUCAAACCAUGUUAGAAAUCUUUGGGAAUCAGAAGCAGCUGCUGCAAUUCUAGGCUGCAAAUCUGGUCACUGACUUGUUUCCAGGUCUCUUAGUUUGGGCCCUUCCUAAGCUGCUGUCAGUGCCUCCCCUCUCAACUCACUCACUGCCCUAUUUUGUCCCUGUAUUCGAAAGUGAUCGUGGGCUGCCUUUGCCCUGGUCAUUGAUAGUGCAGGGAGAGGAAUCAAUGAAAGCGCUUCCCCGUGUUUGAAGGGUCCACUCCUAUCCCUUCCAAACUCUGGAGCUUUCGUACAUGCCUUUAUUCUCACCAGUGAUGUUACCUCCUGGUACCUGGUUGUCGUGCCAGACCCCUGUUUACCUCAUUAGGGAUGGCACCAGGUUCAACAGGCCGGAGAAGAGACCUGGAGCCAGUGAAGGAAACAGGGUUUAUCUGGGGAACUUGAGGGCAGUCAGCAGUCUAGUGGUGGGGGGCUGGAUGGGGGCACCUCAUCCACUUGUAAAAUGCAUGCAGAUUAUAUAGCACCUUCCCCCAGUAACCUCCACAUGGCAACCCUCAUUUCCUAAGAAGCUAUUGUUACAUGCAUCUACCAUACACUGGUGCUGUAUGGUUCAUUGAGUGUCCCUUGUGCCUAGCAUGGGACUCAGAGGCUCCUGUCAAAGGACAGUGAAGCAGGGACCUGCCACACUGAGUUUAUGUCUCUGAGCUAGUUUUGGAGCCACAGUAGUGGUUACCCCUUCCUAGAGCUCCCCCCAGAAGCUCUCUCUGCCUCCCCAUCACACUCCUUCCCACCUCUCAGCACUGGUCACACUGUCUGGGAAUUGUUGGUUUGCUUCUCCUGCCCACUGUGCUGUGAGCUUCCUCAGGGCAGUGCCUCUGUCUUGUUUCACAUGGUGCCUGGUAACUGACAUGUAGCACCUGGACAAACAGUAAAUGAGAAGACACAUUGUUGUAAGGUGACAAGGCUUAUCCCAUUGAGCAGUGCUGGGGUUAAAAAUGUCCUAGAACAAGCCAGCUGUUACAGUCCACCUUCAGUCCUGGCUGUGAGGAGCGUCCAUGGUCUACCAGAGGUGGAUUUUCCUUCUGGCCUUAGAUUAAGGUGGCAAGGGCUAGAGUAGUAAUCGGGGGAGACAAUAUGCUAUAGGUAUAGUCAGAUGUAUGAAUGCAGCUCUUACACACUAGAUGGUAGGUGCGGGGCUCUCCCACCCCACCUGUUCAUUACCCAUCCCAGGUCUGUGCUGAUCACUGCCAGGCAUGGCCUGCUCCAAAAGCCUUCUUGCCUUGGCAUCCUUUUUUUCUUUUUUUUUUAAUUUUUUUUUUUUUGAGACCCAGUCUUGCUCUGUUGCCCAGGCUGGAGUGCAGUGGUGCAAACACGGCUCACUGCAGCCUCUGCCUCCUGGGUUCAGUGAUUCUCAUGCCUCAGCCUCCGAGUAGCUGGGAUUAAAGAUGUGCAUCACCACGCCCAGCUAAUUUUUGUAUUUUUAGUAGAGAUGGGGUUUCACCAUGUUGGCCAGGCUGGUCUCGAAGUCCUGGCCUUAUGUGAUACAAAUAAUUGGGACAGCCUCCCAAAGUGCUGGGAUUACAAGCGUGAGCCACCACACCCAACCUGUUUUUAAAAUGUUUAUUGUCUAUAUUUGAGUUUACAACAUGAUGUUAUAGAAUAAUGGGACAGAUAUAGAUAGCACAGUGGUUACUAUGGUGAAGCCGAUGAGCAUGUCUGUUAUCUCACAUAGUCACCGUUUUUAGUGUGUGUGAGGAGCAGCUGAAACCUGCUUCACAGAAAUCCCUUAUGUUGUGCGUGAGCCCUCUAGACUUACUCAUCCUGUAUAUCUGCUACUUGGUGUCCUUUGGCCUACAUCUCCCUAUUUCCUUCAGCUCCUGCCCAUGGUAAUUACCAUUUUAUUCUCUAUCUUUGUAUGCUUGACCUUUUUUUUUUUUUUUUAACAUUGCACACAUAAGUGAGAUAUGCACUGUUUGUCUGUGUCUAGCUUAUUUCAUUUAACAUAAUAUCCUCCAGGUCCAUCCAUGUUGUGGCAAAUGACAGGAUCUUUCUCUAUCUUUUUCUUUUUUUUGGUUGAGACAGGGUCUCCCUCUGUCACCCAGGCUGA